GAAAAAGAAGUAUCAUAUAAGAAGUUACUAAAUUUAUGGUUCAGCAGCAGCAGCAAUUAAUAUGAAUAUUCAAGAGAAAAGAUUGAAGCAAAGAGUAUCUCAUGUUCAGAUCAAUACAAUAGAAAAUAAGAUAGGCAAACAUGAAAAGUAAACCAUCCAGUGGAGACGACUAAAUUAUACUAUGAUGUAUGAAGUAGAUAUGAGGGUC
rnacentral:misc_RNA from 1 species